CGACAUACCAACUACCUAGCUGGAAAUGGAAAAGCUGCCUGCACAGCCAUGAAAGCGAGAGCAGCAGUUUCACCAAAGGAGGUGGGGAUAGACUGAGUGGCACACAAAGACUCUGUGAGGCAACAGUCACUCCCAGGGAGGACUGCUAAAGAGAAAACAGCCUUGGAGGCAGACAAACUAAAGCACAGCAGAUAACUACAGUGUCACUACCAAAAAGCAAGAGAAGAAGAGAAGAGCAACAAAGAUUAAGAGGAGACAGAAGAGCAGUGAAUGGGGUUUGUUUGUCUCACUUUUCUUCCCCUCCACGUGCAGACAAUCAUCAGUACCUGAGGAAUUAUCCCUCCUAACCUUAAUCUGGACCUGACUGCUAAUCUCUGUCUGAGGACUCCUCCUCUGGAUGCCCAACUGCACGUUUCAGCAGCAAACUGACAAGUAAAGACACUCAGUGAUGAAUGUGUCAUUUCUUCCCUGAAGGAGUUACCUGCCAUCUCCUCAUCAACCUGUCUGCUUACUUCUGUUCUGUAAUUUUUCAGUCAGUCUGGGCUGGGCUGAGUGUGUGAAAACAACAAAAGGCUCUCACAAGAUGGACCCCAGAGAAGAGACGCUGGACCUCCUGAACAAGAUAUGGGUCAAGCUGCAGGGUCUUCCCAACGCCACCCCUGUAGAGCUGGGCGCUUUCUUCGUCCUCCUAACCUUCAUCUUGGUGGUCGUACUCAUGAUAGUGCUGAGCUGCGUGACUUGCUGCUGCUGCUGUCGCACCUCAAAGACGAAGGGCCAGAAUAUCUGAGUGAAUGCUUCUCCGCACAAGGACAUCCAACAGGACACGCUGAAAAAAGCGUCCUCAAGAGUCAUGGUCAUGUAAUUAACAGACAGACAUUUGAGAAAUUUCAGUGAGCAAUGAAGCGUCCGACAGGGCGUGUUCAGUGGCACAAGAGGAGCCCAGCCCUUCAACAACAAAGCACCUGACAAACACAGAGAAGGAUGUCCUGACUGGCUGCCAAACCCACCUGCUAAAGCAGCCAGGCUUUCAGGAGAGGCUACAUUCUUCCGGGCAUCCCUGCACCUUACAGGACAACAACGCCUCUGAUUUGAGGAAAAGGCAGCACCAACCCAAAGUUUCUUUAAUAAAAGCGGAAUAUGAGCUAUAAAAGUGUGUAGAAUAAUUUAAGUUGCAGCACAUCAACAGCGAGUUACACAGAGAGAUGUGAAGAGGAAAGCCAAAUUAGUUUGUUAGUGUAUUUCUAAACAUACCUGUGUCAUUAUUAAGGAAUGAGAAUUAGCAUUCAGACUUUGUUAGUUAGGUGAGAUGCUCCUAAGGGGGAGCGGUGUUCCUGAACGCUUCACAACAAAGCCUAAAAGACAGAUCAAGUCUGCCCCCUGCUGUACACAAACUGACAUGGACUGUGAUUUUAUUUUGAAAAGCCUAGUAUGCAUGUAAUGAAAGUUAUGUUUCCUGUAUAAAACU